rnacentral:sRNA from 1 species
AUCCGCCACCAACCAUCAAAACUAGCCAAGAGCAAUAUGAGUCAGCUUUAGAAUCACAUACAUCAUGCUUGGACCGCCAAUCUCACGUUUCGUGAAGCUUCUUUAAUUAUUUCCGGGGCCUGUAUACGAAUCUGCCGGUCGUUAUUAGACUGGCUAUUCUUCUUCGGUUGUGGUAAAAGACGAAUAACUUACCUGGGGACCACGUUUUUCGCUACUUGCCAGGCUGGAAUAU